rnacentral:lncRNA from 10 species
AUCUCAAAGUGGGUGAGCUUGGGCAAAUGAACUCACCUCUCUCAGCACAGCUUCCCUCAUCUGUAAAAUGGGAAUACAAACAGCCAUCUCUCAGAGUUCGUGUAAGGAUCAAAUGCCUGGCAUUGUACCUGGUGUAAGGAAUGCACCCCGCCUCUGCACCCAGCUGCCUCUUUGCAACCAGGAAUUGGCUCUUUGCACCAUGUCAGCAAAGCACACUCCAUCAGGCAAGCAAUUUGGGAUAACGAUGAGGACAAACACUUGGAGAAUGACUUCCUCCUCCCCCCCAGCCAACCCCUUUGCAGACCACCUUUCUGGAGCAAGCCUCACCCCGAAGUACAAGGAGGGGCCACACAAUCUCAAACCCUUGCGCAAACAGGGUGGCAGGGGGUGAGAUAACCACAACCGCAUCCUUCGGGCAAGCAGCUCAGGGCACUGUAGGAGCCACUGGGCUCUGCUAAGGGGUUGUCGAGAUCAAGGGGAGAGGGUGUCUCCCAAAGCCAGAGCUGAGCCCAGCAGGUCACACCCACAAUGAACCUCAGAGUAGAAAAGGACUUAGAAUUCAGCCAGGUCAUGCUCCCUGCCUACAGUGAGAAAAUUUAAGACCAGCAAGAUGGGGCACCCCUCCACAGCUACCCUGCUAGCCAGCAGCAGAGAAGGACCCACCUCUAACCCAUCUUCUGAGACCCAGUCUUUCUCCCAGCACCUCCCCACAACAUGCACAGUGCUGACGGGAUCGUGGGAGGGCCCUGCAGCACACACAUUCAUAAUGGGCCAUUGGAAUGAUCAGGCGGCGUGGUAGACCACCUAUGACACCGUCUUCAGCGCUAAGAACCUCAUUCAUGCAUGCAUUCAUCAUUCCUGUUUGACCCAACACGUGCUAGGUGCCAGGAAAUGUGUCUAUGGUCUGGACGGUCCUAAAACAAAAGCCUCCCCCUUCCCCUGAACCGAGGCAGCUACAAGAGGCUUACAGAGCAAGACUUUCUGAGGCAUCAGAAGGAGGGGUUAAGAAAUGGAACCCUAGGCUGGGCACAGUGGCUCACACCUGUAAUCACAGCCUUUGGGAGGCCGAGGCGGGCGGAUUGCCUGAGGUCGGGAGUUUGUGACCAGCCUGGCCAACACGGUGGAACCCCAUCUCUACUAAAACACACGAAAAUUAGCCGGGCAUGGUGGCGGGUGCCUGACAUCCCAGCUACUCAGGAGGCUGAGGCAGGAGAAUCGCUUGAACCCGGGAGGCGGAGGUUGC